AAGUCGUAACAAGGUCUCCGUAGGUGAACCUGCGGAGGGAUCAUUAACACGUAUCCACGUAUCAACCAAACGCGAAUACGGAAGAGAGAGCAGUUUCGGCUGCGCUCGAUUCCAAUUCUCCCUGGAUGAGUAGAGCUGCUUCGAGCGAUUUCUGUGAUGGGCGCCAGCUUGCUGGUGCGGUCGCUCGAAGCUUGAGGUUCGACCUCGCGGUUCUCUCGCUCAGGCUAAACUUUUCUACCAUUGCAGAUCCAAAACCCCUUUCACACCACUAAUACCAAUUGAAACAACCUUAUUCGACGAAAGUUGAAUAUGAUAUCUUAACUAAAAGCACAACUCUUAGCAAUGGAUAUCUUGGUUCUC
rnacentral:misc_RNA from 1 species